GACGAACGCUGGCGGCGUGCUUAACACAUGCAAGUCGAACGGAAAGGCCUGCUUUCCCUUGUGGAUUGCGGGUACUCGAGUGGCGAACGGGUGAGUAACACGUGAGUGAUCUGCCCCCAACUUGGGUAUAAGCCUGGGAAACUGGGUCUAAUUCCCGAUAGGACUGCAGGGUGGUGCCUGUGGUGGAAAACGAUUUUCUAGUGGUUGGGGAUGAGCUCGCGGCCUAUCAGCUUGUUGGUGGGGUAAUGGCCUACCAAGGCGGCGACGGGUAGCCGGCCUGAGAGGGUGGACGGCCACAUUGGGACUGAGAUACGGCCCAGACUCCUACGGGAGGCAGCAGUGGGGAAUAUUGCACAAUGGGCGGAGGCCUGAUGCAGCGACGCCGCGUGGGGGAUGACGGCCUUCGGGUGGUAAACUCCUUUCGACCGCGAGGAAGCCACCUGGUUGGAAGGGUGGUGACGGUAGUGGUAGAAGAAGCACCGGCUAACUACGUG
rnacentral:rRNA from 1 species